rnacentral:lncRNA from 1 species
UUGUUUUAAAAAAACUUUCCUUCUGCAACAAAAGCUUGUCCUCCAGAGCUGUCAGUGCUCCUGAUCUGGUAAGAAUGGUUGAAGAUUCCCCUUCCCCCAGUCAAUGAGCCC